CGCAACGUUUCACAAUCAACGUUUAGUCCUUGUGGACACAGAGAGUUUUGGAGUUCUAGAGUCCUACAUGUGGCUGUGCAGAGAUUGUGGCUCAUCUCACAUAUCAAGAUCAAAGCUUUUAAAACACUUCAGGUAUCUGCAGAAUUCAGUAGGAUUGCAGCUAUCCCUUUGGUGUCCAAAUUUAUGGGUCAGCUGGAUCAUUUCUCAACCCAGCUCAGAAUCUUCAGAAAGAAAGGAGGAACAGCAACACAGAAGAUGACAAACAUCCUCUCAGUUAUGGAUCAGAAUGACACAACGAAAAAAAACGUGAAUGCAUCUCGAAAGCCCUUACUGUUUACAUGAACGAAGACCCCUCAAACCUUGUGAAGGAGUACUUGGACGUUGAAUAGGGCUGGGACGACGCGUCGACGUAAUCGAUGACGUCGACGCAAAAAAUAAGUCGACGCAAAAUAUGCGCGUCGAUUCGUCAGACCAAAACAAAGAUGGCGGCGCCGGAGAGUAGAAGCAAAACGAGUGGCUCCUCAGACUACCAGAAGUGCAAGGCGGCACGCACUCGUUCAUCUAAAGUGUGGGAAUUCUUUAAUUUAAAAGGAAAAAAUUAUGUGAUAUGUCGUCUUUGCAAAAUGGAGAUGGCUUUCCAUUCUAGCACCACGGCAAUGCACCAGCACUAGGGCUGGGAUGACGUCGACGCAAAAAAUACGUCGACGCAAAAUAUGUGCGUCGAAUUGUCAGACCCAAAACAAAGAUGGCGACGCCGGCGCCAACACGAGUGGCUCCUCAGACUAUCAGAAGUGCAAGGCGGCAUGCACUCGUUCCUCUAUAGUGUGGGAAUUAUUUAAUUUUAAAGGAAAAAAUUCCGUGAUAUGUCAUCUUUGCAAAAUGGAGAUGGCCUUCCAUUCUAGCGCCACCCGGGAGCAGCCGCAGAUGACAGAGCGCCGUAAGUUUUUUUUUCAACUCCCCACUUUGCACUCGAUGUUGGAGUAGGCUAUAAUACGUUGUCGACACAUAACGUUUUCGCUUAUAGCUAUUAAUAAUGCGCUUAUAGCUAUGAAUGUCGUGAAAAAUACAUUGAGGACACUGACAACGCGCUGACAGACAGGACCAAGCAGGUAACAUUUAAUAAAGUCUCAACUUUCAAAUUUGGUCAUUCAAAGAAAAUUAAACCAUAAAUAGGCCUACUAUUUUGUGGCUCUUUAAUGUGUCGUGACAGAUUGCCUCAGUUAAAGCUGCUCGUGAACCGAUCAUCUUUUCCUUGUUAAUUUAUAGCGUCAAAUAUGCUAAACAUGAAUGUAGCCUACAUCAGAAGGACUGUUGUUUUAACCGCAGAAAGACAUCAGUACAGUAGCCUACAAUCCAUUAUUCAAAUUCAAAUCCACCGACGUUAAUCUUCUCUCUCCUGACUACUUUGUCGGACAAAAAUGGCGUAUUAUGAUUGAUUGAUCAGAUCGCCAGUCAAUCAAACUCCCGGCAAAUGUUUUUUUUUUUUUUUUACAUUUUAUACACCCCCACCCCCGAUGAAACAGGUAUUACCGGUGUUGUCACAAGUCGAUUAAUCGAAUCGAAAUGGAAUCGGACUGAAAAAAUGAAUCGUUAGAUUAAUCGAUGCAUCAAAAAAAUAAUCGCUAGAUUAAUCGUUUAAAAAAUAAUCGUUUAUCCCAGCCCUAACGUUGAACAUGAUGAAGGUCAAACUUCAGUGCGAAACACCACCCAUUUAUGUCUUCGUACAUGAAGGGGCAGAUGCUACAGACCAUUACCAAGAUGUUGGCAUUAUCAUUUAAGCCGUCCAAAUACUUGAAGACCUGAACAAUGUGGCAAAUGCUUGUUCUAUGAUGCUUGGUCUAAUUUACACUUUAAACUUGGCUUACCCACAAGACCUGAGGUACACUUUUGAAGUAUUUCAAAAGAUUUUUAUGGAGCUAGAUGCAAACAAGCUGUCAAACAAGGUCCAGGUCCUGAAAAAUAAACUCCUUUCAGAAACGCUGUAACUUGAGGUCAGGACCAAGAGCCAGGACUUAUGUUUUCUCCAUAAUGUUGCACUGUUGUUUGGCUGUUGCAGUACAUAUAUUGAUGUACAUAAUACUGUUUUUUUUAUUUUUUUUUAUUUUUGUUGUUGUGCAAUUAAAAGGAGGCACAAGAAGCAAAAGAAGACUGCUAUUAUUUUUCAAGUAUAACACUUGUAUGUGUAUAUUUUAUAAAUCCUUUAAUUUAAAGACAGCAUGCUUUUA